UGACAUUUAAGUUGUUCAUCUAGCUUUCUUAUUCCUAAGUCUAAUUCCUACUUGUCUCAUCCUGUAGAUAUCCUAAGAGCACAAUUAUAAGAUCAAGGCUUGUGACAAGCGCAGCUGGAGAAGAAAUCCCAGUUCUCUCUUUUUAUUUAAAAUUACUCAUGGUUAGGGUAAUCAGGUUGUAAAUGAUCCAGGUUCAGUUUCUCUUCUGCCACAAGAGAGUUCAAACGUAUCUCCCUUUUCCCAGGUUAAUAUUCCAAGCAAAUUACUUUUGUGGGCCUUAUUCCAUUCCUUUACAUGAGAGAAUAUUUAAAGGCCUUUGCCCAUUUAAUCCUCAUCUUCCUUGAGAACUCUCCAAAAGCUUCAUGAUGAGCAGGAGUCAUGGUGUGCUUUGUGAUCUGCUUAAAUCCCUCCUUUUACUCUACCUCCAUGACUACAAAGCCUACUGAUUCAAAGAAAUUGUAGUGAGUGCUCUGUCUCUUGGUCCAAAGAACAUCGGGAUGCAUAUGAUGCUGUAUGCUAUGAUGCUCCUUCCUUUCUGAGCCUACAAAGGUGGUGUGGAAAAGCAGUUUGUAGGCUGCAUUAUUCAUUCAGUAUAGUGGCUCUUUUAGAACAGCUAUAACCAUGGGUUAUAUCCCAGAAGUAGCUGUGGUCCAUGAGAUCUGAUUUUGGCCUGGGUGAGACCUCAAGGUUAACAAGAACUUCAGUGGGAAUUUGGUUGAGUUUUUCCCUUCUUGGACUCCCCUACUGCAGGUUUCACAGCCAUAGGUCACAACAGAGUUGGGUGUGUUUUUAGUACCGGAAGAACAAGUAUCACAGGUUUUAUCAGGGGAAAUGCCAAGAUUACACAAGACACCAGAGAAUUACUAUCCCACUGAUUAAUAAAUCAUCAGAAGUUAAAGAAGAACAGCCUAUGUUAUUUCACUCACAACUUCUUCUGAUGAGAUAACACAAAUGAAAGAAUAUAGGGUCAUCACAAACUGCUGCAAAGAUAAGCAUCAGUCACUGAAAAACAUUAUCCAUUUUUUGUUAUCAGGAACUCUUCAGAAUAACUUUUAUUACUAUUGUGGUUGUUGUCAACUUUUGCUGCUUUAUGUCUGGACCACAGGGAAUGCUGCCUUCUUACAGGGAUUCACAACUCUUACAGUUGAGUUGUUCAUUUCAAAAACAAACUUUUAAAAGGCCUUUAUAUCCUACCUGUCAUUGGCUAGUGCACUCUCCCAGUAUAUUCUCUCCUUUGCUUGGAGGCACUGAAACCCACUUUUCUCACAGUAAUGUCUUAUACGCCAAGCUGCAGGGAGGCUGUUCCACUUUGGAACAGAUAUAUAUUACCUGCAGUGGAGAGUGUGAGCACACAGUUAAGGAUUACUCUCCUGCACAGUGUUUAGGGCACAAACAUCUACUUUACUGCAAACAUUAUUUGCAACAGAAACUGGAACCCAAAUUUCUCUUCUUGCAGAUGAGUUCUGCUGUAUAGAAAUAUAUGAAAUAUACAAAGUGUCUUGUAAAUGACUGCUCUCUUUUUCUCUCCUGAGAGAGUCAGCUCUAGCAACUUCAUGAUAAAUUCAUUUUUUAGGAAAAUACCCUGCUAAUAAGUAGCCCUUAGUGUGGUAGCUUCGUUAUUUUUCUAGGAACUGAAUGGUAUGGGAGAGAACAUCAUGAGGUAAAGACAAAAAUCUAUUUAAAGUCUCUUGUGUUCCAGAUGACAAUAUGGUGAUAGAGAUGACAUUAUCGUGGUCACUGUUGUAACCAUUUGCCUUCCUUCCCCCAGCAGAUAUAUCAAGUGUGCCUGAGAAGUUCUUGCAGAUAGAACAGGUAAAGGAUUAUGGUUUGUGAAGCUUGAUGCUACCUUGGCUUGAGAAGAUCUGAGCAGUGCAGUCCUGCUGAGUGUUAGGUACUUCUGCAAAUGAUUGGAGGCCAAUUUUUAGGGAACUCUGAUCCUAAAAAUGGAGGGGACUGUGUGCUUCCUCAGAGAGAUGAUAGCAGAGCAGGCUUGCAGCUGAGGAGGAAGAUGAGCACAUGAAGUGCCUUCUUCCUGUAGAUCUAAAGCUACCUUGGCAAUAAGGAUGUGUCAUUAACCAUGUUACUUGUGGGUCUAGUGGGAACGGAGGCAUGGCUUGAGCUCACUCCAGCAGAUAACAAUGGAUAGCAGCAUUGCCAGCAAGGUGCUGGGCAGAGAUCCUGCUGGCUUUGUGCCCUUUUUCCCAAGGCACAGUUCUCUGGCAGGUAGGUUUUGGCCUGGGACCAUUGCAGCAGCUGUGCUGCAACCCUGGAAUACUCUACUGGGCUUGGUGGUGUGUGACGUAUACUUCUUGUCUGGAUCAGGGCAUGACAGCUGCGUUCCAGGAAAAGCCUAUCCUCCCCUGAAGUCAAUUCACUACCUAACUAUUUACCUACAUAAACAGUCAAUGCAGCGUUCAGACUAACUGCACAGGAUGCGGAAACUUGUCUGGCUGUGACAUUGCUCUGUUUAUUUGGUUUUAUAACUUGCACAUCUGUUUCUUGCUUAUUUUUUUUUUUUACUCUUUGCUCAGGAAUUAACUUCAGCACCUUCUGUGUCUUUAUGAAUUGCCUCAGAUUAAUAUUUAACACAAAUGCAUUCAGCUUUUGGUAUGCUACCAGAAGACCUAUGUCCUCUUUCACACUGUUUCAGAUGAUACAAGAAAUGUGCUUGAACUCUGAUAUCUGACUCGACAAAGGAAUGACUGAAUUUAAAAAGAGAUUUAUCAGGUAAAGACUACCAGUAAAUCUAAACAGAAAAUGCUGAAAAGAUUAUGCAGCCAUUGCUCCAUAUUAAGGCAAAAUUCAGCCCAGCUCACCACUUUGCCUAGGCAACAGGGCAGAGCCUUUAGAGAAGGAAGUGUGCCAAAGGAGAUGUGGCAAUGCCUUGCAAACAUAAAACAGGCUGCUCUGGGAGGAAGAGGAGGCACGUGGCAUCGGCUAGCACAGACUGAGUGGUAAUGGCCUUAGGAGCAGCUGAAUUUAUGACUGUUUUCAGCAGUUACUCUAUGUAAGGUUUCUGUGGUGUCUCUGGUGAAUUUUAAACCAGCACAAAAGAAAGUGUGGGAAGAUUGCUGCCUGCGUGGCCCACGCCUGCCGUGUUUGGAGCAGGCCUAUGCCAAUUAGCCUGUUCAGCCCUCAGGGUGUAAUAAUGUAAUUGUUGUUACCAUUAGUACCAAUUAUAGGAAUUAGAAAGAAACAAACCUUUAUACAGGAGAAAGUAGAAUAUGUUUGCGGAUAAACCAAAGGGGAGUGCUUUCUUUUACUAGCUCUAUGACCCCCAAAUCAAUUAAGCUGGUUACGUGUUCAGCAGUCAGCAUGGUCAGUAAUUAGUAGUUUCUCCACAGUUUCAAGCUUAAAUACCACUCCUGGUGAUCACUGUCUUCUGAGAGACUUCAGAUCUGGGUACUGACCUAUCCUAGAGCAUCUGGGAGUAGCCUUAUAUCAGUCAGUGAAGGAAGCUAGGGGGAGUUGAAUGCUGUCCAGAGGCUGUCUAUGAAGUAGCCACAGGAGAAUCUGUGUUUUUGUUUUUCUCCUGAACAGUCUCUUCUUGGAUCUUAGACAAGGCUUAAACGAGAUUUUUGAAAAAAAGCUGCAAGAAAAAUUUUGUGUAAUAGUAUGUAUGCAAUUAUUCUCUUCCAUAAGCAGAAACAUGCAGAGUGACACCAUUUGGUUAUUACCAACUAAUCUGUGGUCAAAUUUCUGAAGUAUUUUAUCAUUGCUCUUUGCACUUCUAUAGCAGAACGUAUUAACACAUUCAGUCUCCACCUUCAUGGACAAAGAUUUACCCAAGUCCACAUCCUGGUAGUGAGUUUUGCACCACUGUAAAACAAAUCACGUUUGUGAAAUUCAGAUUAUGGGAAACGUUCUGGAACAUUGCUAUAAGAGCUGCAGAGCCAAUGUGGGCUACAACUGGUCUAGACAAGAUCUGUGAACAAGUUGAAGCAGUUAAGUGCUUUUGAGACAUGAGUUUUUCUGUGGAUUUCAGUUGGGAAUUAUACGCCAAAUUAGGAGCCAACUGUUCUGGUACACUGAGCAGCGUUGAGCUUUUAGGUCUUAAUUUCAUUCCUUGAAUUUUGUAAAUGGGCAUUUUUUGACUCGCAUAGAAGGUAUUUAUUAGAACAAUUCCCCCUAGCCAGUACUACAGGGAUUGCUCUACCAGAUGCCUGAUACUGUCUAGUCUUCUGUUUCCAACAAGGACUGUAGAGCACCCCAUAGGGAGGGUUGCUUAGAAAGGGAUUUUCUCAGAAAUCUCUUUAUUUCUGGAAUUUUAUGCUCUGGAGUAUGAGAAAAAUUAUCUGUAAUGGCUUUUUAUUCUAUCAGUGUGAUCUAACUGCAAUCAUGACUGUUUCCAGUCAAGGUUUAAGCUUUCCUAGAUUUCAAAAUACUUUGAUCUCAGGUAUGAAAUAGUGUACCUUAGAUUGACAGAUAAAUUAUAUAUGUAUAUAUUUAAUUGGAUUAUUUGUUUUAAAUCUGGAGCUGUUUAAGAUUCAUCCCCUACUCUGAGUACUGGAAAUGAGAGGAGGUGGCAGAGUCCAGUUUGCCUACUCUGUGUCACCAGGCCUCUCUCUCAUGACCACUCCACACGCUUCCAGUCUGGGGAAAAAAUCUCAGCCCCAGUGCCAAAUCUGAGGAAUAUUCCCAUCAAAAUAAAAGAAAACAACUCAACUCUGUGUAAAGUUGUCCUCUAAUACACCGCAUUUUCCAACAGCAGAGGAAGCGGGAUCAGGGCAAAGUGAUGCUGGUGUGCAUGGUGUUGUCCCUUCCUAUCCAUUGGGACCUAACGUGUGCUGCAAGAGCACUGCAGGGGCCACCAUGUAAAAUAUGCAUAGGUUGCCCUAAAGUAUGCCAAGCAUCAGGCUGGCACCCUCAUGAGAUGCUACAGAAAUAGCUAUGGGUCGUCUCUGUCCCAUCCGGUAGCUGUGGUGGGUACAGCUCUGUGGCACUGGUGUGGCACUCGGAGAGACAGCUGGGCCGCAGACCUCCACAGGAUGACAGUGGUGGGAAGGUGGCCUGGGGAGAGCUGCCACACGCGGCCGAUUCAAGCCUCUCGCUAUGGGGUCAGAACAACUGGUGCCUGGCAGGAAACGGGUGGAAAGAUUGCAAAAGACACAGGUAUCGGCCGGUGAUCUGUGCUGGAAGGUGGCGAGCGAGUAACCUUGCUCCAUUUUGUGGUAGUGCUUCACCUGCAAGUGCCUGCUGUGAGUGAAAUUGUCUGAGCUGGUGCCGCACUUUAUCAAUUUCACUCUCAGCAGGCUCCGCAGGUGAAGUAUUUCAUUGCAGGAGUCAGACUCCGCUCUCCCCUUCGCAGUCUGAAAUAGAAAGAGGGGACAGGAAAGAAGGUAAUAAAUGGCCAGAGAAGAGCAAAAGCAGGGCAGAGAGCAGCAAGAAGCAGCGUGCGUGUUAAAUGGUACUGGUAAUUCAGUGCACCUAACCCUCUAAUUCUGGUGGAAUCCAACACUUAAAAGGGCUUUACUUAACUUUUUUAAACCUUACGCUUGGAAAUAAAAGAAGUAAGAGAACUUCACGGCUGGAAGUGAAAAAUUAUGGUGAGUUUUUAUAUUCCCAUGUUUAAAAUGCCGUGUAAGAUGAUGUGGGUAGAACUAUAAGAUAAUAUUCUCAGUCUUCACCCUAACAGUGGCAAAUAGGGGCUUUUUUUUCUGAGAGAAAUAUAGGCCAGGCUUUUUUUGUUGUUUUUUUUUUCUUUCCUGAGUUCUGCAUUUCAGAAAUGAUGUGCUGUGAUUUCGUUGUUGCCCUUUCUUAAGAAAACCUGCAUCUGAUUUUCAGCGUUGCUGGUGCCGCUUCCCUUAACUUCAGAGAGAAGUUCAGCAUUCAAGAUGAGAACCAAGCAAAACUGGUAACCACAUGGGAUUGUUUCACUACUAGGAUAAAGCUCAUGUGAUUCAGGGGUCAAUGGGAUGUCAACACAGCGUUAGAGCUCACAGGUCCAUCUGCUUCCAGGCAGUUACAUCCUAUGUUUUACAGGAAUAGAAGACAGCACAGAGCUAACGUGUUUAAGCUGGCUCUCAGUUCCUACAGGAGCUUCCUUCUUGAAAGUCCUUGCAAAGCUGUUAGCCCAUCACUUCAGCUGCAGUGAGCCAAUUCCCUGGGCUAGGUCCCAGCAUGCAGCAGUCUUACACUCUGUGGCUUGGGGAAUUGAUGCACCCUUUUGCUGUAGGAUACAUCUGACAGCAUUAGACUCUGUCCCAGUUACACGUUUGGGAAGGGACUGCACCAUUCUCUGAAGUUCCAGGGAGAAAGAGUGGCUUUUUGUCACAGCGAGUGCCCAGUGACAGGAGGCUGUACCUGCUGGCUUUAAGCUUGCUGCUGUCUAAUGUGGGAAAACUGGUUGAAGGGCUGUUGCUGGAGGAAGGCAGUCAGAGUGGAAGAGCUCAGCUCUUGUGCUUCAGGAGAGAAGGGAAUGAAUGCAAUGCAAUAAUGAACUUAAAACAGAAGACUUCAACCCACUCCAAGAAUUGCUAAAUGCAGUCUUGUGGAAAGGAAUUUUAAUGGGAAAAGGUGCCCUGGAGAACUGCUGGUUCCUAAAAGAGACACUGAAUAUCGGAUGAAAAGCUGCCAUGAUACAGGAGGCUCACAGCAAGUGUGGGGAGAGACAGCUAUGGCUGCAAAGGAAGAUCUUUAAUGACCCGACGAUGAAAAUGACGGUGCAAAAGGUGGCUUCAUUUCUGCAUGCAGGCAAUACAAGUAAAGCUUUUAGCAGUGUCCCAAGUGAAUCUCAUGGGCGUGCCAGGGAAAUGUGGUCUUCAUUAAACUACUGUAAAGUGGGAAAGAGAAGGCAAGGGAUUGGGUAAGUGUGUGGGAGCAGAAGAGGAAGAAUGAGAGGGAAGGCAGCACAAAUCAGAGUACCUUUUUUUUUUACUAUGGAAAUAGUUAUAUGGCCCAAGUUAAAAUGAACAAACAAACAGAGAAAAAAACCAAUAUAAUACUACACAUCUGGUGUUGUAGUGUCAUGCACACACCUUUGUCUUCACAGCAAUGCUAUGCGAUUGUAUAGUGGAACCUGAUUUGCAAGGCUGCUUAAUACAGACCUGACCUUAGCUAAUGAAAAGAUUAAGAUCCUUUGCAUUAAGCUUUUUGUUGAGCCCUCAUCUUCAGAUGAGGGAGAAACCCCAGAAAAACUAUUGCAACUGCUCCAAUGAUGACGUACACAUUUACAUUCUAAAGGGUGGGAUCUCUGAGUGCCAACAUUUGAAUGAUUAAAUAAAUCACGAGGUGCAUUUAAUGGGUGACCUGUAGGGGCUUCACAGCAAGUAGUUUUGUCUGCUCCCACCCUCAAACGGUUUUAAUAAUGUCUUUGACUCCAUUUGCAACCAGACCUCUUUCGUAGGUGCAGCCUUUGUCCUUUGCAAAGCAGUUUGUGAGGAGUGCUUCGAUGUCAGAAGGAGAGUGCCAGGAGCAGGUGGUCCUCCUAUUUGCUUUUCUAUGAGAUCUCCUUAGUACAGGGCUCAGCCUUAACUUCGCAUGCUUAUAAGAUUUUUGUCAUUAAACCCCAACUAGAAAUGAAACGGAGGCUACUCUAAAAGUGAAUCAAAAUAUCAGUCCAUGAGACUAGAAUGUGAAAAAGUGGCGUGCAACAUCACCGAGGAGAGUUAUCUUUGUUGUGUGUAACAGGUUGGUUAGAGGAAUUCUAGAAUCUGCAAAUGACACCCCAACUGCUGUAUUCCGUACCCCAGCAAAGCUGGUAAGGUUACAUGGAUUACAGAUAAACACCAAAUUGCUGCUUUGGUUUUUAUGAUCGGUGGGACAAAGAUGUGAAGAAAAGUCAGUAUAUGUAAUAUAUGAGAGACACAAAUGUUUGCAGUUUUCUUUUGGUGAACAGAUGCAGGUGCUCUGAAUGACCUUUUCUCUGGUAGCGGCAGUACAUUUCCUGGGAGGGUCACCUGGCAUACCCCACAUGAUCACCAUAUAAGAGCAGAAAAUAGAGGCUGUUGUGAAAAGAAUCUCACCUGAUGUGUCCGUUUGCUAACAAGGCAAAUCUCAUGAUACUUGCAAGAAAAAAAUCAUCAGUAAACAAUCCUAUGAGGUGGGUAGGUCUGUAAAGAUUGCUUUGGGCUGCUCAGGAAGAGACAUUUGUUUGCCACUUUUGGAUUGGAACAAGAAGGGAAUACAGGGCAGUGCCACCAUGACGAUGGAAGGUAGAACAAUCCCAAAGUUUCCAGGGGCUUUGCAAGACAAAAUAAGAGCAAUCUGUGGUAGCUUGGCCUGCUAAGAAUGGAGAAUCCAGAAGCAAUUACAACUGGGAACUGCCCUUUGAGCCCAGUGGUCUGGGCAAUUUUCAAACCACUUGACAGCAACGGACAUUCAGAUCAUCCAGCAGACAUGCAGUCCAGACUUCUUCACUUCCAAAUGUACGACCAUGGCAGACAAUGUCAUACAGCUGUCUGCUGCUCAUUCAGAGCUGCUUCUCAUUUUUGGGUUGCCUUCUGAUGCAUGAGACGAGAUGCAGAGACUGAUGCUGCUGCUGUCAUAAGAGUAUGUGGUUCACAGGCUUGAUCUUUUAAUAAUGUUUCACUUUUUUUUUUUUCACAGGAUAUUGCUGACAUUAUGACACAGCUCCAGGAACUACCAAGUCUUCUAAUGGCUCCAGUAGUUUCUGAGCCUGUAUCUCAUCAUACUAUACCUACCUUGAUCUGCUGGCAACAUGGAAAAGCUCUAUUCUGUUCUUUCUGUCUCGAUUCCCCAUACCCACCUUUGAUUUUUAGCAGCCUCAUAUAUGCAUCUUCCUUCAUUCCUCCUCUAUCCACAUAUUCUUCCCUGAAUGGUGCUCUCAUCACGCACCACUGCUGGGAAGCCAACUCUGGCCCUCUCUCUGUCACUGAUACGAAGCAUUGGACUGGAGUUUCCAGGGAAGAGCAGCUCCCAUGGGUGCAAAAAUGCCUACAGGAAGGCAUGGCCAUGGCCCACUGCCCUCUCUCCUGCUCUUUGCUCCCGCAUCGAGCCAAAUAACAAAGCAUUUGUUCUUGUCAAGCAGAUGGGGAGGAAUUGGCAAGGAGCCCGGAAUCCUUAUAAGUUAAUCUCUGUCUAUUCAGCUGUAAGUAAAGAGAAUUUUAUCUCAAAAGAACAUCACUCCUUUGGCUUUGCCACCACAUAUUUGCUCACUGUAUCUUUUUCUCUCAUACCAUUCACUCGGGGGAACAAAUAGAGAGUUAUAUUUCCAACUAUGGAGGAAAAUUAUCUGAGGGCAGAGGAGGAUGAAUGUGAGGCCAUUCACUAAAAGGCAGAUUACCUCUGAUGCAGCAUCAGAGCGAAUGUGUGUGAAUCGUGACGAUCUAGCCUCAGUUUUGAAAGAAAAGAGGCAACAAGCUCGACCCAACAACUAUCCUGAGACCCCUGUGGAAAGUAAUAAUCUUGAACAAGCCAGUGCAAGCUAUGUUUUCAAUUUAUAAAUUAAAUGUAUUUAAAAUUUAUGAACUUUGACUGCACGAGUAACUACUUCAUUAGACUUUAAGGCUGCAUGUUUCCUUGGCUUUUUGCGUGGUAAAGUGAAACACAUUUCUAAUAAACAUGGAAGGAGAUUUCAAGAUAGAGUCACUACUUUUAUGUAAAGCACCCUCCAGACUCAUUAAAAAAGUUUACCACCUAAAUAAAGCAAGCACGCUGUAAUUCUUGAACCCAUAAAAUUGUUAAUAUAUACAUAAUAUUAGUCUACUCUUGCAUGUACGCUGCUUGAUAUCAAUGAACGACAUACAGUAAGGGUUUUACUGUAAGGAAAUUAGCAUAUAAAACUGUGUUUUGCUAAGUCUUACAUUGUAACGUGAACUCGAGAAACAAGAGAAUAUAAGUUGGGUGCUGCUCUGGUUUACUGAGUAGGUAUGGCUAAUGGCAUGAACGUCCUUAGGAGAGAGUGCUGCGGUGCUUUGACACCCAAGCUUCAGCUGUAACUGACACCGCCCUGUUUCUCCUAGUUUAUAUCAACCAGUUAGAACCCCUCUGAUGGCCAGCGGCGGUGGCGUGGUGGUGGGCACCAUGCAUUGGCCUACUAAGCAUGGCUGUGGCUCAAGGAGCUGGCACCAUGCACUUCCCCUCCCCUGGCACUGGUAUGUCCUCAGCUGCAGCACAGCACCCUGCUUUGGGAUCUUCACUUCAAGGGGGAUGUGGAAAACCUGGAAGGUUUCCACACUUGAGGUCUGUCACCACAGUCCAUGUCCCGGAGCACAGCUCCUGGAAGGAUCCAGCCCUGUUCUGUGUGGUGAAGAGGAGCCCAAAGGGUGGUCCGGCAGCAGUCUGGGGCUGCCUGAGGGGCAGAUCCAAAGAGAGCAGGGCCACACUCUUCUUGGUGGUGCCGGAGGAUGUAACAAGGGGCCACACAUGGCAGAUGGGGAGGUUCAGGCUGCACAUUAGGAAAUCCUUCUCCGCUGGGAGGGUUGUACGGCACAAGGACAGGUCCCACAGAGAGGUGGUGAAGGGUCCUUUCUUGGGGGCUUCACAGCUUGGCUAGAUAAAGCCCCAGCUGACCUACUGUUGUAAUAUAGGUGGUACUCCUACUUCAAGUGUCCUUUGGACCAGGUGAUCUCCAGCAGUCCCAUCCCAGCAGCAUUUCUGUGACUAUGUAGUCCUUUUCUACAGAGCAAGGGAGAAGCAGGUCCUAAACCACAUCAGUCUCUCUCAUCAGAGAGAGAGAAAGCAGCUCAGCCAAACCCCUGCCCCUCAGGGCUAGUCCUAGCCCAGCACCUACUCAGUUGUCUGUUAGAUUAUGUUGGGGUUCAGAAACAAGUCGC
rnacentral:lncRNA from 1 species